rnacentral:lncRNA from 1 species
CGGGGGAUGGGUUCCGGCUUCCUGCCGCCUCGGCAUCUCGCUUUGCACCGGGCAAAGAAGGGGCCACGACCGGCGAAGAGCGCGUGGAGACGCAGGGACCCGCGAUCCAGGGGCAGGAACCCCGCCCCCUCCCGGAAACCUCCCGGGCCCUGAGUCGUGCCCGGCGCUCCCCACCCCACCCCCGCCGCCCCUGCCGUCACUCACGGCCGCUGCGGGCUGGCUAGCGUGUGCGCUCUCCGCGCCGCAGGCACCUGCUCGCUGGGCGCUGUGCGCUCACUUCUCCCUCGCGCACUGCAGACUCCCGGCGCUGCCGCCGCCACCCAGCGUAGUCUCCGGCUGGGCACAGCGUUCCGCCCUUCUCGCGGCCCCGGGCGCCCACCCACCCACCAUGGCCCAGGCCUGGGCCAAACAGCGGGGCAGCUGGUUGCCCAAACUGGGGUCUGCGCGCCGCGGCUGAGCGCCCACUCGCCCUGCGGAAAGAGCCGCGGAGGAACCGGCGGGGGCGGCGGCGGGAGCCGAAGGAGGUGGCAGUCGGGAGCAGAACCAGAAGGAGACAGGGAGGCAGAAGCUCGCGGCUCCGUGGCACGCACUCCCUCGGCCAGGGAUGGGUCCCGGCGCGGCCCAGCCCCUGCCCGGCCCGCCGGGCAGAGACUGAACCGCGGAUCCCCACCGUCCUGUGGACGACCAGACAGAGAGAGGCACUGACCGAUCGCCAGCAGCCUCCCGGUGGGACCGCGUCUCCUGCACACCCCGCGCAGCGCCCCCCGCCGGAG